rnacentral:misc_RNA from 1 species
UACGGAGGGAGCUAGCGUUGUUCGGAAUUAUUGGGCGUAAAGCGCGCGCAGGCGGCCUCUUAAGUCUGAUGUGAAAUCUUGCGGCUCAACCGCAAGCGGUCAUUGGAAACUGGGGAACUUGAGUGCAGAAGAGGAGAGUGGAAUUCCACGUGUAGCGGUGAAAUGCGUAGAUAUGUGGAGGAACACCAGUGGCGAAGGCGGCUCUCUGGUCUGUAACUGACGCUGAGGCGCGAAAGCGUGGGGAGCAAACAGG